rnacentral:rRNA from 1 species
CACGUAGGGGCCAAGCGUUGUCCGGAUUUAUUGGGCGUAAAGAGCUCGUAGGCGGUUGGGUAAGUCGGGUGUGAAAACUCCAGGCUCGACUUGGAGACGCCACCCGAUACUGCUCUGACUCGAGUUCGGUAGGGGAGUGGGGAAUUCCUGGUGUAGCGGUGAAAUGCGCAGAUAUCAGGAGGAACACCGGUGGCGAAGGCGCCACUCUGGGCCGAAACUGACGCUGAGGAGCGAAAGCGUGGGUAGCAAACAGG